UACGGGGGGUGCAAGCGUUAUUCGGAUUUAUUGGGCGUAAAGGGCAUGUAGGCGGCCUUGCAAGUCUGAUGUGAAAACUCCACGGCUCAACCGGGAGACUGCAUUGGAAACUGCAAAGCUUGAGUGCAAGAGAGGUCAGUAGAAUACCUGGUGUAGCGGUGGAAUGCGUAGAUAUCAGGUAGAAUACCAGUGGCGAAGGC
rnacentral:rRNA from 1 species